CGGAUAAAAGGUACUCCGGGGAUAACAGGCUUAUCACGUCCAAGAGUUCACAUCGACGACGUGGUUUGGCACCUCGAUGUCGGCUCAUCGCAUCCUGGGGCUGAAAUCGGUCCCAAGGGUUUAGCUGUUCGCUAAUUAAAGCGGUACGCGAGCUGGGUUCAGAACGUCGUGAGACAGUUCGGUCCCUAUCCGUCGUGGGCGCAGGACGGCAUCGCCGGGUAGCUAUGUUCGGACGGGAUAACCGCUGAAAGCAUCUAAGCGGGAAGCCCCCCUCGAGAUUAGGCGUCCCGAGCCGCAAGGCUCCUGAAGACCCCACGUAGACAACGUGGUUGAUAGGCCGGAUGUGGAAGUGCGGCAACGCACGGAGCUUACCGGUACUAAUCGGUCGUGUGGCUUGACCACC
rnacentral:rRNA from 1 species